rnacentral:misc_RNA from 1 species
GUAAUUUGGUCAGUUUGGUUAUUCAGUGCCCAACCAAAAUGAAAUAACCAAACCUAUAGAAAACCAAAAAUGAAUCGAAAAAAUUGAAAAGCAUCAAUUCAUUUCAGUUUCAAUUUGAACCAAACAGAGCUCAACCCUAAAGGUUUUUCCCUCUGUAAUCAUCCCCGUACCAUCCAAUUAACAACUCUGAAGACAUGCCCAAACAAAUGCAACCCAAUAUAAAACUUAAACAGCAUGAGAUUUGAGAGUAAAGAAUCACAUUCCAGAUCAGGAAAAAA